GUCACCUCAGUUUCCUGUGCACUCCAUAUGUAAGUACUAAACAAGAGACAUGAGAGUGUAAACUUUAUCUAAUGCUUUGUUGAGAGUGUAAACUUUAUCUAAUACUUUGUUCACUUUAAGUAAUAAUAAACACAAUUGGGGAAAUUAACAGAGUGUGAACUAAUUGUGUGGGCUAACAUUUAUAGCACACAGUGAAUUGAGUACUUAGGAGUUUAAUAAAUACGCCUGACAGAGAGAAAGGUAGCAAAACACAUUUCUUAUUUUAUUGAAGUCCUUUCAUGUGUAUAAUUUAGCAGAUACAAUUCUUCUCCUACUCUCUAUUAUUUUUUCAUUAAGAAAGACUUUGGUUAAAUCUCCGUAACUCAUCAAAAAUGCCUUUAUCUGAUUUACUUUUGUACUUCAUCAGUGAAGGUUUAGGUAAGCAAGCAUCAUUGGGGAGGGCAUUUGAGUCUGGAGAGCGGUAUUAUGAUCAAUAUUAUGCUUUAAUUAAGUUACAUUGACAUUCAUAAUAGGUCUCAAUCUGGUUAAUAAGAAGGAAUAUUUUCUGGGAUAAAGAACAAUGCAAAUUGCAGACAGUGAUCAACUGUUGGUGCUUCGUUUCAGCACUUCAGCUGAAAUGGGUCGUAGUCUAUGGGGAAAUUAUAGAACUCAUUAUGAAGAAUGAUGGUGCUUUGAGAAAAAAACAGAUUUACAACUGAAGGUAAUUAUAACUGUUGCUGCUAGGUCUAGAAAUUUUCAUAUCUGAGACUUUUCAGGAAUGGGCUUGAUUUCUACAUUGUAAUGUUCUCUUCAAGAGCCACCAUGAAUGAGCAUUCAAAAAUAACCCAUGGUGGGACAUGCAACACAAAGGGAUAGACUCAGCCUGUUUCUAUACACAGUGAAGAUCAUUUAAAUAGGCACGUGUGUGAGCACCAGAGAAACCUCCAGCCAACCAGCCCCAUUAUGAAAGGCAGCUUCCUCUCCCAACAGCAUCUUGUUUACUCUAGGCACCAGAACUCAGCAGGAAACCACUCAACUGCAAAUCCAAUUGAAGUGAAUAGUGGAGAACCAAAGCACACAGGCUUGUUCGGCUCCCCUGUAGCUGGUCAUAAUUUCCCACUCAAUUAUCUUCACCAUAGAAUAGUAGGCAGAGGAACUGGGCCCAGCUUAUACAUUUCCAUGAAUAGGUCUCUGCCUAUUCAAUAAAUGACCCUUCUGGGAGUCUACAUCCGAAACAGUGAGUGACAGCCACCUGGGAGCAAGGAAUGCAGGGGAGGUGAGUGUCACUCAUUCCAUCAAGAAUAUGUCUAUUCCUUUCCCUACUAACCUUCCUUUCCAAAGUAUAGUGACAUGUUGUAGGGGGAGCUGGGGCCUACUAAAGAUCUAUCAGACUGUAUUAUGUAAAAUUUGGUAUUUUAUAUAAUAUGUAAUAUGAUUGAAAAAUAUCCUGUCCAAAAAAACACACUUGAUUGUUUUUAAGGUUUAUUGAUACUUGUUUUGACUUUUAUGUCAACUCUCCAUCCUGGGGCUAGGUUACAUCCUAACUUUAAUAUUUAAGAGAAUUCUUUUAAGCAGAGAAAUUGGAUCAGUAAUAAACUCCUCCAUGGAGAAUCA
rnacentral:lncRNA from 1 species